CGGAGCGUAGCGCAGCCCGGUAGCGCAUCUGGUUUGGGACCAGAGGGUCGGAGGUUCGAAUCCUCUCGCUCCGA
rnacentral:tRNA from 1 species